AGAGUUUGAUCCUGGCUCAGGACGAACGCUGGCGGCAUGCCUAAUACAUGCAAGUCGAACGCGGCCAUCCGGUGCUUGCACUGGUGAAGCCGAGUGGCGAACGGGUGAGUAACACGUGAGAAACCUGCCCUGGAGUGGGGAAUAACUCGAAGAAAUUCGAGCUAAUACCGCAUACCUUCUCUUCACCGCAUGGUGAGUUGAAGAAAGAUUUAUCGCUCUAGGAGGGUCUCGCGGCCUAUCAGCUAGUUGGUGAGGUAAUGGCUCACCAAGGCAUCGACGGGUAGCUGGUCUGAGAGGACGAUCAGCCACACUGGGACUGAGACACGGCCCAGACUCCUACGGGAGGCAGCAGUAGGGAAUCUUGCGCAAUGGGCGAAAGCCUGACGCAGCAAUGCCGCGUGCGGGACGAAGGCCCUAGGGUCGUAAACCGCUUUCAGUAGGGACGAAAAUGACGGUACCUGCAGAAGAAGCUCCGGCCAACUACGUGCCAGCAGCCGCGGUAAUACGUAGGGAGCAAGCGUUAUCCGGAAUUACUGGGCGUAAAGGGCUCGUAGGUGGUUGAGUAAGUCAGAUGUGAAAUCUCAGGGCCCAACCCUGAGCCUGCAUUUGAUACUGCUCUGACUAGAGUCCGGUAGGGGAGUGCGGAACUCCUGGUGUAGCGGUGAAAUGCGCAGAUAUCAGGAAGAACACCGACAGCGAAGGCAGCACUCUGGGCCGGUACUGACACUGAGGAGCGAAAGCAUGGGUAGCAAACAGGAUUAGAUACCCUGGUAGUCCAUGCCGUAAACGUUGGGCACUAGGUGU
rnacentral:rRNA from 1 species